GGUUAAGCGACUAAGCGUACACGGUGGAUGCCCUGGCAGUCAGAGGCGAUGAAGGACGUGCUAAUCUGCGAAAAGCGUCGGUAAGGUGAUAUGAACCGUUACAGCCGGCGAUGUCCGAAUGGGGAAACCCAGUGUGAUUCGUCACACUAUCGUUAACUGAAUACAUAGGUUAACGAGGCGAACCGGGGGAACUGAAACAUCUAAGUACCCCGAGGAAAAGAAAUCAACCGAGAUUCCCCCAGUAGCGGCGAGCGAACGGGGAGCAGCCCAGAGUCUGAAUCAGCUUGUGUGUUAGUGGAACGGUCUGGAAAGUCCGACGGUACAGGGUGAUAGUCCCGUACACCAAAAUGCACAGGCUGUGAACUCGAAGAGUAGGGCGGGACACGUGGUAUCCUGUCUGAAUAUGGGGGGACCAUCCUCCAAGGCUAAAUACUCCUGACUGACCGAUAGUGAACCAGUACCGUGAGGGAAAGGCGAAAAGAACCCCGGCGAGGGGAGUGAAAAAGAACCUGAAACCGUGUACGUACAAGCAGUGGGAGCACCUUCGGGUGUGACUGCGUACCUUUUGUAUAAUGGGUCAGCGACUUAUAUUCUGUAGCAAGGUUAACCGUAUAGGGGAGCCGCAGGGAAACCGAGUCUUAACUGGGCGUUAAGUUGCAGGGUAUAGACCCGAAACCCGGUGAUCUAGCCAUGGGCAGGUUGAAGGUUGGGUAACACUAACUGGAGGACCGAACCGACUAAUGUUGAAAAAUUAGCGGAUGACUUGUGGCUGGGGGUGAAAGGCCAAUCAAACCGGGAGAUAGCUGGUUCUCCCCGAAAGCUAUUUAGGUAGCGCCUCGUGAACUCAUCUUCGGGGGUAGAGCACUGUUUCGGCUAGGGGGUCAUCCCGACUUACCAACCCGAUGCAAACUACGAAUACCGAAGAAUGUUAUCACGGGAGACACACGGCGGGUGCUAACGUCCGUCGUGAAGAGGGAAACAACCCAGACCGCCAGCUAAGGUCCCAAAGUCAUGGUUAAGUGGGAAACGAUGUGGGAAGGCACAGACAGCCAGGAUGUUGGCUUAGAAGCAGCCAUCAUUUAAAGAAAGCGUAAUAGCUCACUGGUCGAGUCGGCCUGCGCGGAAGAUGUAACGGGGCUAAACCAUGCACCGAAGCUGCGGCAGCGACACUAUGUGUUGUUGGGUAGGGGAGCGUUCUGUAAGCCUGUGAAGGUGACCUGUGAGGGUUGCUGGAGGUAUCAGAAGUGCGAAUGCUGACAUAAGUAACGAUAAAGCGGGUGAAAAGCCCGCUCGCCGGAAGACCAAGGGUUCCUGUCCAACGUUAAUCGGGGCAGGGUGAGUCGACCCCUAAGGCGAGGCCGAAAGGCGUAGUCGAUGGGAAACAGGUUAAUAUUCCUGUACUUGGUGUUACUGCGAAGGGGGGACGGAGAAGGCUAUGUUAGCCGGGCGACGGUUGUCCCGGUUUAAGCAUGUAGGCUGAUUGUCCAGGCAAAUCCGGAUAAUCAAGGCUGAGGUGUGAUGACGAGGCACUACGGUGCUGAAGUAACAAAUGCCCUGCUUCCAGGAAAAGCCUCUAAGCAUCAGGUAACAUUAAAUCGUACCCCAAACCGACACAGGUGGUCAGGUAGAGAAUACCAAGGCGCUUGAGAGAACUCGGGUGAAGGAACUAGGCAAAAUGGUGCCGUAACUUCGGGAGAAGGCACGCUGGUGUGUAGGUGAAGCCCCUGCGGGUGGAGCUGAGACCAGUCGAAGAUACCAGCUGGCUGCAACUGUUUAUUAAAAACACAGCACUGUGCAAACACGAAAGUGGACGUAUACGGUGUGACGCCUGCCCGGUGCCGGAAGGUUAAUUGAUGGGGUUAUCCGUAAGGAGAAGCUCUUGAUCGAAGCCCCGGUAAACGGCGGCCGUAACUAUAACGGUCCUAAGGUAGCGAAAUUCCUUGUCGGGUAAGUUCCGACCUGCACGAAUGGCGUAAUGAUGGCCAGGCUGUCUCCACCCGAGACUCAGUGAAAUUGAACUCGCUGUGAAGAUGCAGUGUACCCGCGGCAAGACGGAAAGACCCCGUGAACCUUUACUAUAGCUUGACACUGAACAUUGAGCCUUGAUGUGUAGGAUAGGUGGGAGGCUUUGAAGCGUGGACGCCAGUCUGCGUGGAGCCAACCUUGAAAUACCACCCUUUAAUGUUUGAUGUUCUAACGUUGGCCCCUGACCGGGGUUGCGGACAGUGUCUGGUGGGUAGUUUGACUGGGGCGGUCUCCUCCCAAAGCGUAACGGAGGAGCACGAAGGUUAGCUAAUCCUGGUCGGACAUCAGGAGGUUAGUGCAAUGGCAUAAGCUAGCUUGACUGCGAGCGUGACGGCGCGAGCAGGUGCGAAAGCAGGUCAUAGUGAUCCGGUGGUUCUGAAUGGAAGGGCCAUCGCUCAACGGAUAAAAGGUACUCCGGGGAUAACAGGCUGAUACCGCCCAAGAGUUCAUAUCGACGGCGGUGUUUGGCACCUCGAUGUCGGCUCAUCACAUCCUGGGGCUGAAGUAGGUCCCAAGGGUAUGGCUGUUCGCCAUUUAAAGUGGUACGCGAGCUGGGUUUAGAACGUCGUGAGACAGUUCGGUCCCUAUCUGCCGUGGGCGCUGGAGAAUUGAGGGGGGCUGCUCCUAGUACGAGAGGACCGGAGUGGACGCAUCACUGGUGUUCGGGUUGUCAUGCCAAUGGCACUGCCCGGUAGCUAAAUGCGGAAGAGAUAAGUGCUGAAAGCAUCUAAGCACGAAACUUGCCCCGAGAUGAGUUCUCCCUGAGACUUUAAGUCUCCUGAAGGAACGUUGAAGACGACGACGUUGAUAGGCCGGGUGUGUAAGCGCAGCGAUGCGUUGAGCUAACCGGUACUAAUGAACCGUGAGGCUUAACCUU
rnacentral:rRNA from 1 species